UACAGAGGGUGCAAGCGUUAAUCGGAAUUACUGGGCGUAAAGCGCACGUAGGUGGCUUGAUAAGUUGGGUGUGAAAUCCCCGGGCUUAACCUGGGAAUUGCAUUCAAGACUGUCUUGCUAGAGUGUGGAAGAGGGAAGCGGAAUUCCAGGUGUAGCGGUGAAAUGCGUAGAUAUCUGGAGGAACAUCAGUGGCGAAAGCGGCUCACUGGACCAUUACUGACGCUGAGGCACGAAAGCUAGGGGAGCAAACAGG
rnacentral:rRNA from 1 species